UCUUCGGAGGCACCUGCACAGGUGCUGCAUGGCUGUCGUCAGCUCGUGUCGUGAGAUGUUCGGGUUAAGUCCCGCAACGAGCGCAACCCUUAUCCCUAGUUGCCAUCAGGUAAGCUGGGAACUCUGGGGAGACUGCCGGUGAUAAACCGGAGGAAGGCGGGGAUGACGUCAAGUCCUCAUGGCCCUUACAUCCCGGGCUACACACGUGCUACAAUGGCAGGUACAGAGGGCUGCGAAGCCGCGAGGUGGAGCGAAUCCCAGAAACCUGUCCCAGUCCGGAUUGAAGUCUGCAACUCGACUUCAUGAAGGCGGAAUCGCUAGUAACCGCGAAUCAGCAGGUCGCGGUGAAUACGUUCCCGGGCCUU
rnacentral:rRNA from 1 species